GAUCUAAUCAUUUCUAGUUGCUUCUAACAUGGAAGUGUAUCACUUUCUUCCGCUCUUCAUUUGUCCGAUUAUAGGAAUUCUGUGUGAAGAUUUAAACAAGUACUUCCUAGAGGAUGAUUUUAUUUUGACCCAUUCACCGAAUUCUGAGACAAUUUUAUCGAAUUAUGAUGGACACGUUUCAAAAACUUUUACCUGGCUUGUUGACCAUGUUGAACAACUGGAGAGAAAGCUUGAAGCUCAGGAAAAAGUUAACAAAAAGUUGCGAAAUAAAAUAAAGUAUUUGGAAGACUCCGUACAAACGCGUGUAGAGCACGAACAGUCGAACAAAAAAAAAAUAGAACAUAGACUCUCUGUUUUGGAAAACAUUUGGUCGAAAUAUAAUAGCGAUUAUACUGAAACCCCAACCACGAGUUUACAUGAGAAGGAGAAAGGAUUCUCAAAUGUAACGGAGAAGUACAACAGAACCGGCAAAAAUGAGGUUUUCAAGAAGCUGCCUUCUCAGAAAAGGCUCUUGAUUGCUACACCAAUUCCUACAACAUCCCCAAAACCAAUGGAAAAUCUUGUUGUAUUUUCGGCAUAUCUUUCAACAAUAGAAGCUCAUCCUGGCCGACACCAGAUCAUCAUAUUUGAUGCUGUCCUCACUAACGUCGGAGGCCAUUAUAACCAUCAUAUUGGGAUGUUUACAGUUCCUAAAAGUGGCAUUUAUGUGUUUUCAUGGAGAAUCAUUUGUGAUCCAUCAGGGGACAUCUUUACUGAUAUUGUUGUCAACUCGGCCAUCACAAGUGCCAUGAGAGCCGACGGAACGGGAUCAAACGCUGUAUCAAGCUCUACCGGAUUGGUAGUUGUACAUGUCAAUAAGAAUGACGUAGUCCACAUAAGAACUAACUCUGCUGACGACAUCCAAGAAAAAAAGAGACCACAAGUUCUGACACUGGGUAAUUGAAGAAAAAAGAGACCACAAGUUCUGACACUGGGUUUCUUAUCACGAACAAUGGACCAGUUUCUGUACUAAUGAAAACCACUCCAUCUUUACAUUGUUUCUACCCCAUGAUACAGCAAAGAAAUUGUUUAUAUAUCCCCAAAUAUUCGCAAAUAAAGAAAUGAAGUUGCAGAUAUUCAUUACACAACGGAUAGACGGAAAGUGAAAAUAAAGAACUGUAAGCCCAUAGUCCCUAUACAUCAUUAAAAGUAGAACAAAUACGGAUCCCUAGGCACACCAGAAGUGGGACUACGUUUCUAGGAGUUCCUACUUUUCCUUACCGAUGUUUAUCUAAAUUUAAAGAAAAAGCUUCAAUGUGAAAAGAAAAAAGAGUGUUUGCUGUGGCCUUCAACUCGGCAUUUAGAGAUAUCAACGACGUUUUAUCUCUUCAUAAUGAUAACUUUCAUCCACAUGACGAUUUGAUAUAUCCCUGUGAACUCGAAAUAAAACAAACACAACAGGAUAGUCCA